GACGAACGCUGGCGGCGUGCUUAACACAUGCAAGUCGAACGAAGUGGCGAACGGGUGAGUAACGCGUAAUCAACCUGCCCUUCAGAGGGGGACAACAGUUGGAAACGACUGCUAAUACCGCAUGCUGAAGGAGGGGAUUGCGUCUGAUUAGCUAGUUGGAGGGGUAACGGCCUACCAAGGCGACGAUCAGUAGCGGGUCUGCGAGGAUGAUCAGCCACCCUGGGACUGAGACACGGCCCAGACUCCUCCGGGAGGCAGCAGUGGGGAAUUUUGGACAAUGGGCGCAAGCCUGAUCCGGCCAUGCCGCGUGGCGUAAGAAGGCCUUCGGGUUGUAAAGGACUUUUGUUAGGGAAGCGGUACCUAAAGAAUAAGCACCGGCUAACUACGUGCCAGCAGCCGCGGUAAUUC
rnacentral:rRNA from 1 species